UACAGAGGUCCCAAGCGUUGUUCGGAUUUACUGGGCGUAAAGGGCGCGUAGGCGGCCACCGCAAGUCGACUGUGAAAUCUCCGGGCUUAACCCGGAAAGGUCAGCCGAUACUGCGGGGCUAGAGUGCAGAAGGGGCAACUGGAAUUCUCGGUGUAGCGGUGAAAUGCGUAGAUAUCGAGAGGAACACCUGCGGCGAAGGCGGGUUGCUGGGCUGACACUGACGCUGAUGCGCGAAAGCUAGGGGGAGCGAACGGG
rnacentral:rRNA from 1 species